rnacentral:rRNA from 1 species
UACGGGGGGGCAAGCGUUGUUCGGAAUUACUGGGCGUAAAGGGCUCGUAGGCGGCCAACUAAGUCGGAUGUGAAAUCCCCAGGCUCAACCUGGGAACUGCAUCCGAUACUGGAUGGCUUGAAUCCGGGAGAGGGAUGCAGAAUUCCAGGUGUAGCGGUGAAAUGCGUAGAUAUCUGGAGGAAUACCGGUGGCGAAGGCGGCAUCCUGGACCGGCAUUGACGCUGAGGCGCGACAGCGUGGGGAGCAAACAGGA